AAGUCGUAACAAGGUUUCCGCGGAAGGAUCAUUAACACGUAUCCAACGUUAAAACAACCCUGUGAACCUUCAAUCUUGCUCGCGUGGCUCCAUGAAAGCAGCAAUCCCUGGUAAAUCAUUGUUGACCAGCUAUUGAGUCAGGGACCUCUGCUUUAAAACGAUGCGAUACGAGCGCCAGAGUAAGUGCGGCCUGGCAUCCUAGCAAUCUGUCAGUGGUUGCGCAAGGAUGGCGCAGUAAACGAUCGCUGUAGGCCCACACGGCCGGCGACCGGGCCUCUGUGCUUCGGCACCUAACGACCCCAUGUUUCGUACCCGGUGCGCUGUAACAACCGCACCACAAACUCGAACAACUGUUAACAAUGGAUAUCUUGGUUCUC
rnacentral:misc_RNA from 1 species